rnacentral:snRNA from 1 species
AGCUUUGCGCGGUGGCAGUAUUGUAGCUAAUGAGGUUUAUCCGAGGUGCAACUAUUGCUAAUUGAAGGGUCAUUGCUUGCUGGGUAUCUGUCUCACUGCUUUGUACUUCUGCAUAUUGUGGUGUCCAGGGAGUUCCCACUGAGGCUCAGUGGGUUAAGAACCCAGCUAAUCCAUGGAUACUAAUCCAUGAG